rnacentral:rRNA from 1 species
UUCCAGACUCCUACGGGAGGCAGCAGUGGGGAAUAUUGGGCAAUGGGCGCAAGCCUGACCCAGCAACGCCGCGUGAAGGAAGAAGGCUUUCGGGUUGUAAACUUCUUUUAAGAGGGACGAAACAAAUGACGGUACCUCUUGAAUAAGCCACGGCUAACUACGUGCCAGCAGCCGCGGUAAUACGUAGGUGGCAAGCGUUAUCCGGAUUUAUUGGGUGUAAAGGGCGUGUAGGCGGGAAAGCAAGUCAGAUGUGAAAACUAUGGGCUCAACCCAUAGCCUGCAUUUGAAACUGUUUUUCUUGAGUACUGGAGAGGCAGACGGAAUUCCUUGUGUAGCGGUGAAAUGCGUAGAUAUAAGGAGGAACACCAGUGGCGAAGGCGGUCUGCUGGACAGCAACUGACGGUGAGGCGCGAAAGCGUGGGGAGCAAACAGGAUUAGAUACCCGCGUAUG